GACGAACGCUGGCGGCGUGCUUAACACAUGCAAGUCGUACGGUAAGGCCCUUUCGGGGGUACACGAGUGGCGCACGGGUGAGUAACACGUGAGUAACCUUCCCACAACUUUGGGAUAACGCUAGGAAACUGGUGCUAAUACUGGAUAUGUGCUCCUGCUGCAUGGUGGGGGUUGGAAAGCUCCGGCGGUUGUGGAUGGACUCGCGGCCUAUCAGCUUGUUGGUGGGGUAGUGGCCUACCAAGGCGGCGACGGGUAGCCGGCCUGAGAGGGUGACCGGCCACAUUGGGACUGAGAUACGGCCCAGACUCCUACGGGAGGCAGCAGUGGGGAAUAUUGCACAAUGGGCGCAAGCCUGAUGCAGCAACGCCGCGUGCGGGAUGACGGCCUUCGGGUUGUAAACCGCUUUCAGCAGGGACGAAGCUUUUUGUGACGGUACCUGCAGAAGAAGCACCGGCUAACUACGUG
rnacentral:rRNA from 1 species